GCGAGCAUCUGCCAGGAUGUUUUCAUUAAUCAAGAACGAAAGUUAGGGGAUCGAAGACGAUCAGAUACCGUCGUAGUCUUAACCAUAAACGAUGCCGACCAGCGAUUAGGAGACGUUGAAUACAAAACACCACCAUCGGUGCGGUCGUCCUUGGCGUCUCGGUCCUUCACGGGGCCGGGGCGCGGGGGUGGCUUAGCCCGGUGGCACCGGUGAAUGACUCCCCU
rnacentral:rRNA from 1 species